GAUGAAGAACGCAGCGAAAUGCGAUAAGUAAUGUGAAUUGCAGAAUCCAGUGAAUCAUCGAAUCUUUGAACGCACAUUGCGCCCGCCAGCAUUCUGGCGGGCAUGCCUGUUCGAGCGUCAUUUCAACCCUCGACCUCCCUUUGGGGAAGUCGGCGUUGGGGACCGGCAGCACACCGCCGGCCCUGAAAUGGAGUGGCGGCCCGUCCGCGGCGACCUCUGCGUAGUAAACCAACUCGCACCGGAACCCCGACGUGGUCACGCCGUAAAACACCCAACUUCUGAACGUUGACCUCGAAUCAGGUAGGACUACCCGCUGAACUUAAGCAUAUCAAUAAGCGGAGGA
rnacentral:misc_RNA from 1 species